UUUUAUGAGAGUUUGAUCCUGGCUCAGGACGAACGCUGGCGGCGUGCCUAAUACAUGCAAGUCGAACGCUUCUUUUUCCACCGGAGCUUGCUCCACCGGAAAAAGAGGAGUGGCGAACGGGUGAGUAACACGUGGGUAACCUGCCCAUCAGAAGGGGAUAACACUUGGAAACAGGUGCUAAUACCGUAUAACAAUCAAAACCGCAUGGUUUUGAUUUGAAAGGCGCUUUCGGGUGUCGCUGAUGGAUGGACCCGCGGUGCAUUAGCUAGUUGGUGAGGUAACGGCUCACCAAGGCCACGAUGCAUAGCCGACCUGAGAGGGUGAUCGGCCACAUUGGGACUGAGACACGGCCCAAACUCCUACGGGAGGCAGCAGUAGGGAAUCUUCGGCAAUGGACGAAAG
rnacentral:rRNA from 1 species